rnacentral:rRNA from 1 species
CGGACGGGUGAGUAACGCGUGAGAAUCUAACUUCAGGACGGGGACAACAGUUGGAAACGACUGCUAAUACCCGAUGUGCCGCAAGGUGAAACCUAAUUGGCCUGAAGAAGAGCUUGCGUCUGAUUAGCUAGUUGGUGGGGUAAAGGCCUACCAAGGCAACGAUCAGUAGCUGGUCUGAGAGGAUGAGCAGCCACACUGGGACUGAGACACGGCCCAGACUCCUACGGGAGGCAGCAGUGGGGAAUUUUCCGCAAUGGGCGAAAGCCUGACGGAGCAACGCCGCGUGAGGGAGGAAGGUCUUUGGAUUGUAAACCUCUUUUCUCAAGGAAGAAGUUCUGACGGUACUUGAGGAAUCAGCCUCGGCUAACUCCGUGCCAGCAGCCGCGGUAAUACGGGGGAGGCAAGCGUUAUCCGGAAUUAUUGGGCGUAAAGCGUCCGCAGGUGGUCAGCCAAGUCUGCCGUCAAGUCAGGUUGCUUAACGACCUAAAGGCGGUGGAAACUGGCAGACUAGAGAUCAGUAGGGGUAGCAGGAAUUCCCAGUGUAGCGGUGAAAUGCGUAGAGAUUGGGAAGAACAUCGGUGGCGAAAGCGUGCUACUGGGCUGUAUCUGACACUCAGGGACGAAAGCUAGGGGA